rnacentral:rRNA from 1 species
AGCGCAGACGGUUAUUUAAGCAAGAUGUGAAAGCCCCGGGCUCAACCUGGGAACUGCGUUUUGAACUGGGUAACUGGAGUGUGUCAGAGGGGGGUAGAAUUCCACGUGUAGCAGUGAAAUGCGUAGAGAUGUGGAGGAAUACCGAUGGCGAAGGCAGCCCCCUGGGAUAACACUGACGUUCAUGCUCGAAAGCGUGGGUAGCAAACA